rnacentral:misc_RNA from 1 species
AAUGAAGUUGUUUUUCAUAUCAACAUUUUUACUCGGAAUAUCAGGAUAUUCUGUUGAUCCAUCCCUACCCUUCCUACCCCCGGAUAAAGUUAUAUUAUCCGAUUACCACAACCACAACCAGCUCCAGGAUAUCUUGACCACACUUGCUACAGCAGAUUUUGCUGAGAAAUAUAGGAUCGGACGCAGCGUGGAGGGAAGAGAAAUAGAAGCUAUCAAAAUAUCAGGAGGACCAGGAAGUUUAUCAGAACGACCUCUGUUAAAGCCGAUGGUGAAGUAUAUUGGAAACAUGCAUGGAAAUGAGGCAGUUGGAAGAGAACUACUUCUUGGCCUCGCUGUUCAAUUGGUUAACAUGUAUGGUGAGGAUGAGAGAAUAACUAAACUGUUGAACACUGUUGAGGUCCAUCUUGUACCUACCAUGAACCCUGAUGGGUUUGAAAGAGAACAAAGAGAGAAUGUGAAUGGUGUGGAUCUAAACAGGAAUUUUCCUACAUGGAAGGAACUCGGGAAUUCAAGAGAAGAACUUAAGAAAGGAAAGGAGAAGGAGACUGCAGCAAUGAUAGAUUGGAUUCUUGACAAUGAUUUCCUACUUUCAAUAAACUUUCAUGAUGGUGCUGUAGUUGCUAACUACCCUUGGGAUGAUAGAAACAUGAGACCCUCUACUGUAUCUAAACGGUUUCUUUCUGAUGGGGAGAAUAAUAGAUCCCCGGACACCAAGGUCUUUGAGAACCUGGCCAAGCUUUACUCAUCCAGGCAUACUACUAUGCAUGUUGGUGGAGCCAGCUGUGUGUCCGCCGGGUCCUUUGAUUACUUUGAAGAUGGAAUCACUAAUGGAGUUGAUUGGUAUCCAAUCGCUGGAGGUAUGCAAGAUUUUAACUAUCUAUUUACAAACUGCAUGGAGAUAACUGUCGAACUAUCAUGUAAUAAGAAACCUGGAGCUGACAAAUUACAGGGUGAAUAUGCUAAAAAUAUUGAAUCAAUGUUGGCGUACAUUGAGUCCGCAGAGAAAGCAGUGAGAGGACUGGUAAUGGACUCAAACAACAAUCCCGUAGCAGAUGCUGAAGUGAUAGUUGAGGGGGAGGGGAAGAUAAUCACAACAACGAGCAGGGGAGAAUAUUGGAGACUACUGAUCCCAGGGAAAUACAGGUUUAAAGCUGUUGGGAACGGCCAGGAAAGUGACUGGACUGAGGUUGAUGUUACUGAUGGCCCAGGUCCUAGGAUUGACCUCAGAUUAACAAAGGGGGAGCGGGGGGAGCUCUUUGGCUGGCUUUACACGGAUUCAAACAACUAGAGGCGGCUGAAGAAACAACUGUGAAUCCAAAUACAACAAUUGAGAAUGAAAAUGAUAUCAAGGGUAUCCAGGUAGAAAUAGCUCCUGGUUGGUGU